GCUAAUGUCCGAACACCCGGAAAUCUUUACAAUGCUUCACAAGCGCUCUAUUUAUAGCUAAGGUUUUAGUAUUCAAAAAACUGCUGCAUUUAUUUGUCCUAUGACUUUCUGCAGUUGAAGACAAGUGCAAGCUGCUAGAAUUUAUUGAGGCUACGACUAAUUCUGCUUCAAGACAGACCAGGCCACUUUUUUUAUUAUUUCGGUGGCCAAUCUGCUUCCACGCUCACAUGAUCUUCUCUUUCUUUUGUCUGCCCCCUGCCUGCUUGUCUUUCGUGCUUCAUGGAGGCUUUGUCAGCAAAAUCUAUUUUAUCAUAUUGUUUCAACAAUAUAUUCUUACGGGUUUCUUCUUCAUUUUCGCAGUUCACAGCGACUGAGCUCGCUCACCGUCAAGACGCUCAAUCCGAACUCAUCUUAGCUUCGAAACUCCCUGAUAUUGGCAGGAAACGAGGUUCUUGCGAAUCCAAUCUCAAAAAUGUCUCGGUUCUCGUAGUUUAUGAACUUAGUUCGUUGACUUUUGUUUUAUAGAGUGAAGUGCUCAACUGCAAGUUCCCAUGUUUUUAUUUUUUUGGUUCUUAUCUCAUCCGGUUUAGGGGGUUUCAGAGAAGCGAAUAACACAGACGAUCUAUGGAUCCAUUGUGAGAUUUCCUUCCAUAGCCACAGACAGCAUGAGUGCGGUCUCAACAACAGAGUGAAUGGAGGAGCUGUGCCUGCUUAGUCCAAUGGUGCCAGAGAAAAUAUUGAAGCUUUCUAGCUCUGAUGUCGUAUCCAAGACUCCUUCAAGCUCCUCCUCCAUGCCCAGAUCCCUGAAGAUCUGCACAUUCGUUGAUUUCUCUCUCAUCAUCCAGAUUGCCAGCUCGAUAGCAAACCUUCUCAUUCUUGGCACCUUUAUAUGUGGGUUCCGAUGGCUCCUGAGGAUCUCGACCAAAGCCGAAGCUAAUUUGGAUUCUCUAAACCCCGCCCUCUUGAAGACGGCGGUCAAUUCUUCUGCUGUCGUGAACUUGAAAGCAUGCGCCGCUAGCCCAACCAUCACCUCUUGAAGUUUGCCUUUUUCUGUCGAGAUUGCAUUGAGAACCUGAGUUGAGGAAAUAGGAUUAGGUAGGAACAAUUAAUUUCAUACUUUCUAGGACAACUUAAACUUGUACAUGACUGCCCUUUCCGGUUAUCAAGAUGCCGGCUCAGGUUCAGUUUUAGCAAAGGAGUGCACUUACUAUUGGUGCUGCUGCUGUUACUCCCUUUAGCUGGUUGAAGGACUCUGAUCCGCUGUAAGUGCACAGAUUCCUCAAAAUUCUUCCAGCAUUAACAUGAAGAAGCGGAACCUUCAAUGCUUCUACGAGCCUCUCCACUACAUUUAACUUCAAGAUUCGAUGACAGUUGCCCUUGCUUUCGAAAGCCAGCAUUGCCAGGGCUUCGCCGGCCACAAUCCUCACAUCCCUUUGAUCUUGCGGUUCUCCUUGUUGGAAGAAAAUCUUUAACAGUUCUUUAAGUACUCCACCGGUCUCUCCUAUUCGCUCUGACGCAUCGUCUUCUUGUGCCAAACUGACUAUCUCAGAGAUCUCUCUCCGGAGAUUUUUCCCUGUGGUACCCGUUGUGCUUGCCAGCCUCUUCAUAAGCUGUAAGGACCUUCUAACAUUCAAAACCUGUGAUGUGGUGAAACUUGAGUCCUUCAACAUUCUUUCAUCAGCAUGAGUGAAAUCUAUGAUUUUAGGUAGAAGGCCUCUUGUGUUUCCAAUUUUUCCGCAGUUAUCGUGAUCAUGGGCUAGUUUCUUCAGAAUGAGAAGUCCCCAAUUAUUGAAAGUCCAGUAUCCAUAGUCUUCAUGGCCAAAGAUGAUUUUCUUUUCACCAAUUUCGUCUGCUGCAGAACUGGGGCUUCUGUUUGUCUGGAGAAGAGAUGAUAUCGAUUCCACAGCCCCAGUUUAAGAUCUCCACCAGUCUCUCUAUAACUGGGAGAGUUGUUCCGAUCUUCUGAAGCGUGUCGUUUGAAAACCGAUCUUUCGUAGAAAACCGGUGAAGAAUCCUGGCUCCUAUGAGCUGCUCAUCCGGUGAGUUUGAACAUAAGAGAUCCAUCGCAAAAGUCACCAUAUCCAUUCCCAGGCCAUCAAAAAUGCUCCCAUUAAUACAUCUUGAAUAGGAGUCAUAGAAAAAUCUCCGAGUCGAGAUCAUACCCGAAGCCCCCAGAUCGCAUUCCUCGUUCACCCUUUCGAGAAGCUUACAGAUGACAACCUUCCACUCCCAGUAAAUUUUCUCUGUCAGGACGACCAGGGCUUCUGCCAUAGCCAAGGCAUAAAAGAUAAUCAGAGCAGCUUUCCGGUUUUUCUUGUCAGUCUCUUCUUCAUCUACCUCACCAUAAUUGUGCUCAAUGAGCUUCAUCAGUGAGAGCACGACGCAGGCUAUCGCAGAUAAGAGCUGAAGCCAAUAGAGAAUCUUGCUGAUAUUUCUCGAAAGGAAAAACCACCCCAUAUAAGUUUCGGAAAUUUCCCUGCUGUGUUGACUUUGCUUCCUCGUACCAGAGCUUACGGGACUCAACCUAUCCUUCAUGGAUUCAACUAGAGCUUUAGAGCUCGAUCUGAGCUUUCGGAAGCUGCUAAUUCCAGCAUCAGCUAUUGACCAUGUGGACUGGUGUUGCCACACCAGCUCAUGACUCCUGCUGAAUAUUCGAGCUCCUUCAAUUAACAAAAUGAUGGUGAUGAACCAAAAGUCGGUGUUGUCUAGGGUAAUGGCGAAGCCCCCUAGGAGAACAACCGUGGCCCAGAUGAAACCAAGGGUUCCCAGGCCAGUGGCUGCUUUUUCGAGAACCGCAAGGCGGAGAGCAAACAGAGUCAGCUUUUUCUCCGGGGCUGAAACAGUCGGCAGUGUGGGGGAAACGGAGUUUCCGCUGCUUCCGUCUCUCCUGCCAGCACUAGUUUGCGGCUCAAACAUUGUGGCGGGUGAAAUGAUGGUUUCAUUUUUCUUCUGAAGCUGAGGAAUAUCCAGAUGAAUGCUUCUUUGACCUUCAGCGUAGUUCUUGGCCUUCAUUUUGCAAUCCGGAGUGGCUCAAUAAGAGACAGCUUCUUUGCAUAUCAAAUCUGAGGAAAACCUCUAUCUAGCGGUUCAUUGGAGCCUGAAUUCGAAUUGCCCGAUGAAGAUCUUGUAUUCUCUUUGCGCAUAUGGGAGCAACGUGUUUGCUGCUCGGUGACAGCUUCGGCUUGUGUUGAACAAAACUUGCACGAGAGAGAAGGCAAGUUGACACAAUAUCGACUCUGUUUGAGGAAUAUAUAUGCAUAAGGUCCUGAUAUUAUCAUGAC